CUGGGACAGUAGGGACAUCAUCCACUUAGAUCCCAGGCAUCCAAGUAGGUGGGUCGUCGCCCUCCACCGCACUUGGGGACGAUCAACGUCCGGGACAGUAGGGAAAUCAUCUACUUAAAUCCCAGGCAUCUAGGACAGUAGGGACAUCAUCCACUUAAAUCCUAGGCAUCCAAGUAGGUGGGUCGUUGCCCUCCACCACACUUGGGGAAAAACAACCUCUGGAACAGUAGGGAAAUCAUCCACUUAGAUUCCAGGCAUCCAAGUAGGUGGGUCGUCGCCCUCCACCACACUUGGGGAACAUAAACCUCUGGGACAGUAGGGACAUCAUCCACUUAGAUCCCAGGCAUCCAAGUAGGUGGGUCGUCGCCCUCCACCGCACUUGGGGACGAACAAAUAAAAAAUAUUUUCGAAUAACAUCUACUUAAAUCCCAGGCAUCUAGGACAGUAGGGACAUCAUCCACUUAGAUCCUAGGCAUCCAAGUAGGUGGGUCGUUGCCCUCCACCACACUUAGGGAAAAACAACCUCUGGAACAGUAGGGAAAUCAUCCACUUAGAUUCCAGGCAUCCAAGUAGGUGGGUCGUCGCCCUCCACCACACUUGGGGAAGAUAAACCUCUGGGACAGUAGGGACAUCAUCCACUUAGAUCCCAGGCAUCCAAGUAGGUGGG
rnacentral:lncRNA from 1 species